GGGCCAGUCAAGGUUUCGACAGGGGUCUUGCAGCUGGAGAAGCUAUCCGCAGGCGAUGCGUUAAAUCGCAAAACUAAAUAUAAACGCUGAAGAUAAUUUAGCAUACGCUGCCUAAGGGCAGCUGUCCGCCUUAGUGCACCUACACAUUAAGAUCCGGGCAUCGACUAUGUAGGAAACGACGCAGGGGACGCCUCUUACCUGUGGGCGUAUCAGAGGCUACUGAACACAUCGGGGUGUCUGUUUCCUGAUGUGCGAGGGAAUGUGGAGUAAUCCGAAAUGACAGACUAUGAUAGUAGAAGGACAGGGAAUGGGCUUUUGGACACGGGUUCGACUCCCGUCUGGUCCACUU
rnacentral:tmRNA from 1 species